GCGGCGGGUGGUCGAGAGGUUGAAGGCAGGGCCUGCAUCCCAGGGUGGCGAUCUAGAAUAGCACCUCCCUCGUUGGUUCGAAUCCAACUCCGCCGCA
rnacentral:tRNA from 1 species